GUCCGUUACGUUGGUGACGUCACCACGAGCGCGAGAAGUCGAAGGUAGGAGCAGAAAGCGGUGUUAGUGUUAGUUCUGGCCCGUUUGGACCCAAACUAAAGUGUAUCAGUAUGAAGCAGGCGGUGACGGCGCACUGAUUCACUCUCGGAGCUCGGUUCACUAAUGACCGAAUCACCGAGGAACCGACCAAAUAUAACUCACACCCGCACGGAGAAGAAGAACAAGAGGAGGAGAAGAUGAGCUGGAGUGGGGCAAAGAGAACUGCAUUCAGAUCAAACGGAUACAAGAGAGGUGGCCGAGUUGUUUGAGGAUCUAAAGAAUUGAGUGUCACAAUUCAACAUGCACAUCAGCGAAACUUUUCCCUCUGACUACACCAGCACGCACGCACAGAAAUUCAUAGUGCAGGUGGCAAUUGCAGGCACAUUUUAUCCGAACUGCUUCCUCCAGGGAACUGUGGACGAGGAGCUCGCCUCCAAGGAGCUCUAUGAAAACAACCCCAGGACCACCAUAGUGGUGUGUAAUCUCCCUCCAUUUGCAUUCCUCUACUAUAAACAGCUCCAGUCUCUCUUCAGACACUGUGGUUAAAUCAAAUCCAUCUCCUUUGACAGCUCCAGGGCCUAUGUAGAGUUCUACCGCUCGUCAAUGAGAGGUUCUGGCGUUCUCCCAGAGGUCUCUCUGUCUCUCCUCCUCACGCAGCAGAGACUUCCUCUCCAUGUCAACGUUUAACCUGCUGGAGAGGUGGAGACUUGGGCAGGGGGGUAGUGUAUCUCACACCUCAGAUAUACACGGGUGAAUGUGGAUUUUCAGAAUCAGUCAGUGAGCCCUGUCGGGGUUCUGAGCAGCUCCAUUGAGUUGGAGAAUCUUCUGUCUAACCCUGUCUUUAUCGUCAAUAUCACCGAGGUGUCUGUUCCGCCUCUUUCACUUUCAGUGCACAAAUAAAAAAGAAGCUGUGGCUCCUGUGUGUGUGUGUGUGUGUGUGUGUGUGCACUAACAGGAGGUCCAGGUGCAGCCUUUGGAUAUUGAUGAAGAUUUACUGCCCCUGCAAGACCUUCCUCAACUGCGUAGUCUGGAGCAAAGGAUGCAACAGAGCCCAGAUUACAAGCAAAAUCUGGUAAACUGGUUGGCGCUUAUUGACGGGGUGUAUGUGCGUGACUGCACCUGGCGCAUAUUGAAGAGGGUGAUUGCUAACUCCCUGGCAAAGAAUCUCAAUUGGAGGGGAGUCAAUGGAAAGACUUCACUGUCCGCUCUCCAACUCGGAGAGGUCGUGAUUGCUGCAGUUCAUAGAAACCUCUUCACGGCUAAAGCUGCAGAGAUGGAGGUCGAGGGGACCAUGAAGAGGCGGCUCCAGCUGGCAUCAGAUCGAGAGUGUGGGCGCAAGAGCAGACUUUUGAUAAAGGAGGGUAUUUACAGUGUUUUAACUGCGUGUCGGCCUUGGAGAUGAGAAUCACGCCAACUCGGAACGAUCCCCUCUCUUUGUGCAGUUCAUCGACUGUGUGUGGCAGAUGAUGAGACAGGUGAAACCCAGGGCUCAAACCAAGAGAAGACAUUCAGAGCUAUUCAUUCUUUAAAGUCCAUUUAACGAGUUUCCUUCUGCUUCUGAGUUCAAAGAGCUUUUUCUCAUCCCCAUCCUGGAUCGCCCCUACAGCUGCCUGUUUGGUACAUUCCUCUACAGCAGUGAGCAGGAGAGAAUGGAAAAGGAAGUACAGGGUAAAACGGUCACUGUGGUCCUACGUUAACAGUCAGCCGGAGGACUUCACUAACCCGUUCUAUGUGGACUGUAAAAACCAGGUGCUGUAUCCACUGGCCAGUCUCACACAUCUGGAGCUCUGGGUGGGUUAUUAUGUGCGUUGGAACCCACGCAUGAGACCACAGAUGCCGCUCCAUCAGAAUCUGAGAGAGUUAUUGUUUUUGCGUGAAGAACGUGGAGGAGCUCCAGAGAGAGGCCACGUCAUCCUGCUCCAUCUCCUCAUCCUCAGAGCAUACUUCUCCCUCCUCACAUAGUGGCUUGGCAUGCUGUGCAUCCUGAGAUGCUUUUCUGCUCACCAUGUAUGUAAAGAGAGCUUAUUUGAUGUUACCAUGGCCGUCCUAUUAACUUGACCCAGUCUGGCCAUUCUCCUUUCGUCAACAAGGUGUUUCCACCCCGAGAACUGCCACUUACCGGAUGUUUUUCACACAAGUGUGUGUGUGUGUGUGUGGAAAUCCUAGGAGAGCCGCAGUUUCUGGAAUACUCAAACCAGACCAUUUAGAAUCUACAACCAUGCCACGGAUAAAAUCACUGGAUUACAUUCUGGUGUUUGAUGUGAAUAUUGACUGAAGCUCUUCAUCUGAUCCUGCUUGAUGUUGUAUAUUGUGGUGUUGCCAUAUGAUUGGCUGAUUGGAUAAUUGUAUGAAUGAGCACAUGUACAAGUGAUCAGUGAGCACAUCUAUCUACCAUAGAGGUAUUUUGGGGCAAUACUUGACAAUGUACCUGACUUUGUUAGAUUUGUGGCCAAGUUGAAGAAGCUUUUGACAUCCCAAUGGAAAAUAAUAAAUAAAACAAUCCAGGACAAAUUCACUUUCAGUAUUUUAUUUUUACAUUGUUUU